rnacentral:lncRNA from 1 species
GGAUGCCAGCUCUCUGACCCCAGGAGGUUGGAUUGGGCUGGAGAGUGUUCACUCCAGCCUCCUGGCCUUUGCUCAAGCUGUCCUUUGCCUGGGAUACCCAAUUCCUGUUCUCAAGCACAUUUGUCUUGAAGAAAAAUGAUGUGCCGAACUGCGCAGAUGGAAAUUUCGAGCAAUGAGAAAGAUUAAAGUGAAACCCCACUCCUUAGACCUAAUCAUGAGUUGUAGAUUAUUCUGUCGGCCCAGCCAGAUGGUAGCUCUGAUUCCACAGCCCCUUCUUAUAUUAAUGAAUACUCGACUGUUAUAUUUGACUUAGGCUUCUCAUCUGUAACUGGUGAAGCCCGGAAGAGCUUGUUGUUCAAGAGGAAAUCUUGUGUUACUUCUUUAUGAAGGACUCCAGCCUGGUGGAGAUGAAUGAGUCCUGAAGAUGGAAUCGAAGCUGUUUGGGCACAAUACUUUAAUCAGCAUUUAAUGACCCAGUCGAAAAUUCAUUGUUUGGACCCAAGCACUGGUGGGAAAGGCAGGAGGGGAGGCCUGCCUUCCUUCCUCCCUCCCGAGCCCUACAGCAGGCCAUGGAGUGGUGAGCGAGUUCGUACAGUGCCAACCACAUUCCCAGAAACUUCCAGCAGAGGUUAAUCCUGCUCCUCUCAGGUGGGCUUGGCCCAUUCUCUAGACUUUGGAAGGUAAUGUUCUAUAGAGGCCUGUUCUGAAGCUUUACCAGGUCAAACCGGAGAAGAACCCAACAAGUAACUCAUCCCAGCCUAACUAUUCUUCAAGGGCAAUCAACCUACAGCAUCCAAGCACAGAGAAAUCAAAUCCAUGGAGAAUCUUCAAAUUAGGCUCAGAAUCCAUUUGGGUCAAUGAAUUUACUGUUAUUAAGAUCUUAGUUGUGUUCAACCAUGAUUUGACAUACCUUAGAGUGAGAAGAUAUUCUUCCUGGCCUCAGACUAGUUGAAGGUAGAGAGAGAGACAGGCCCUUGGGUGUGGGGAGACCUCUCCUGGGAUAAUACACACAAAAAACCAAGAGCUGCUCACUGUGGUGCAGGAGACAGCAGGGCCUGAAGCCAGAGGCUCUGUGUCCUUGAAUACAAUGUUUUACUCCUCUGACCCCUGUUACUGUGAUUUGGAGAGGCAGACAAUAUAGGAUGGGCUUUGCAGGCAGGGAGGUCCAGUUAUAAUCCCAGCUCUUACUAAGUUGGGUAAGACUCACUCUGAGACUUAGUUUCUUCUGUCAUCUCUCAAUAGAAUCAUAAAGGUACUUUCCUCUUAGUGUUGUUUUAAAAUUCAGUAAAAUAAUGCAGGCUUAGCACAGGGUCUGAUGUAAAUUUUCAAUGAAUUAUCGUUGUCAAUAUUGUUCUGGAAAACAAGAGGGCAUAUUAGAAGAUCAAAAGUACUGCCAAGCAUUGAAGUGCCAAUUCUAGAUCCAGUCUCAGCCCUCUGAGAAUGGAUAUCAUUGUUUUCAAGCCAUUCAGAAACCAAUGUGAAUUGAACACCUAGUAUGAGCUCUCUGAGGGAAGAGCCAAGUCAUGCAUUUUUUAUCUUAAGGGGUCUUCAAUACCUCUAGCCCAAAACAGUAUCUCCAUCAGGAUUCUUCUCUGAUAGUGUUCAUUUCUUUUUUCUCAAUGGAUGCCUUAAAAAAAAAAUCCUACAAGGAAACCUGUACUCCUCAAAUACACCACUCAGGUGACCAUUAAAUCAUUUACAUUGUUAAUUUCUUUUCAGAU